AUUCAUUCAAGAAAUGGAGCCUAGUCUGCUAUCCAAUUCAUGCAAGAAGGAUAGAAGUUAGGAAUGUUCAUGUGAAAUUAUCAAGUCCUGCCCCAAAAAGAGAGAGAGAGAGAGAGAGAGAGAGAGAGAGAGAGAGAGAGAGAGAGAGAGGCCAUUUAUGUGAUAAUUGUGGGCAUAAGCACAAUAUUGACAGGAAUUGCCAGUGUUUUCAAGGA